rnacentral:lncRNA from 1 species
UUUUUUUUCUUUUUUUUUUUUUGAGAUGGAGUCUCGCUCUGUCACCCAGGCUGGAGGGCAGUGGCACAAUCUCGGCUCACUGCAAGUUCCGCCUUCUGGCUUCACGCCAUUCUCCUGCCUCAGCCUCCUGAGUAACUGGGACUACAGGUGCCUGUCACCACGCCCGGCUAACUUUUUUGUGUGUUUUUAGUAGAGACAGGGUUUCACCAUGUUAGCCAGGAUGGUCUUAAUCUCCUGACCUUGUGAUCUGCCUACCUCGGCCUCGCAAAGUUCUGGUAUUACAGACAUGAGCCACCGCGCCUGGCUGAGAACCACUUUUCUAGAUUAUCUACCUAGAAAUGGAAUUUCUUUGUUGUUAUGUUAUGUGCCUCUUCAGCAUCAUUACAAGAUGCCAACAUUUUUUCCAAAGUUGUUUCCAAAGUUGUUUUACCAAUUUAUAAUCUGAAGAACAGCAUAAUACUGUUUAUAUUUGCUUAUAUUGCUGUUUUGUGUUAUUCUCUGUUAGUCUGAGUCUUCUCAGAAGCAGAUGUCAAGACAAGAUUAUAAAUUCAAGAUAUAUUGGGUAACACCUGUGAAACAUAAUGAAGAAGAAACAGGGGAAAGCGGGGAGAACUUCUGCACUAUAAUGCAGGUCUGGCACCUCAGAAGGGGAGUGGGAAGGAAAGAGGAUUGAGUAGAAAAAGCCUUAAAUUUCAGCACCAUUCUAAGAAAGCUUCAGCAAGACUAUUGGGUAAUCCUAGAGCCAGUGACCAGUUAAGAAUUCUGCACAUCACAGGAAUGAACUUGCAUUAGUGCCUCCAUGGUGCUUUUAAUCAUCGGCUGGCUGCCACCCGGGAAACUUGGCCUUUGUGGAUCCAGAGGGUCACCAAUUGGCAUCAUGAGUCAUUUAUGCUCCCCACAGAUGAGAUCUGACCAUUUCAUGGCCUCCAACCCUUGGUCAAGUUGAGGAUCAGAUUAUAUGAUAUUGUCUGUUUGCACUUCAUAUUCUAUAAAUUUUCUAUGCAUUUUCUUUUCCCAGAUUUCUAUUAGAUUGACUUUUUGCUUUAAAAUUCAUAAGGGCUUUGUUUGUGUAUAAAAACACAAGCUCCAUAUUGUCAUAUAUACCACAAAUAUUUUCUCUCAGCUUACCAUUUAUCUUUAGAUUUUGUAUGUGUGGU